rnacentral:lncRNA from 1 species
AUGUGAGCAAGCAAGUCACAUUCCAAUUAGUGGAUGAAGCAGAAAGCAAAUGUGCUAGCACCCUGCACUGCAGCACUCUCAGCUUAAGCAAGAAGGAAAUUCUGUCCUUUGCUGAUAGCAUGCAGAAGCCUGGAGGACUGUAUAGUACCCAACCUUAGCCAGGCACAGAAAGACAAAUUCUAGCGAGCACAUUUCUAUGUGGAUCUGAAAUCGUCAAUCUCAUGAGUGCAGAAUAGAGUGAUGGUUGCCAGGGAUAUAGAGGACAAAAUCGGGAGAUCCUGAUGAACGGGUACCAAGCUUCAGGGAUGUGUGAUGGGUAAUUCUGGAGAUCUAAUAUACAAUUUGACUAAAGUUAGCAAGGCUGCCUAGCACAUUUGAAGUCUGUACAUAUAUAUCUCAAGCUUGAUCAUCAUAAAAAUGGACAAAUGGUUAUAUGAGGCACAGACAUAUUAAUUAAUUGGUUGUGGUGAUUUCAUAUUAUAUACAAAUACAAUAUUUCAUUGCGCAUGUUUAAUACUUGCAGUUUUUUUGGUCAUUUGUACUUCAAUAAAGCUAUAAAGAUACUUUUAUGUUUCUGAGUCUCAUGGGAAGUGGUCUAAAUGGGGACGGAAUACAUUGGCUCAACCCACAAUGUCUGUGCUCCCCCAGUAAGUCAAUUACUUGAAGUGAGGAUCUUUCAUUUUUGAUAUUUUAGUCAAUGUUUCCUUUUCUGUGUCUUAGGUUUAUUUGGGUCAGAGAUUCCCUCUGAGAAGUUGAUGAAAUCUGUGUAAUCUCUCCCCAGGAAAAGUAACUAAAAAAAUUGUUGCAUAUAAUUACAAGACUCUGCAAACCUUGACAGAUGACGAUGGACCCCGGCCAUGGACCAGUUUAAGAUCUAUUCUUCAAUUAUGGCCUACUUAAUUUUUAAUAUUGUUCUAUAUGGAGGCAUCUUAACUUACUCUAACUUUUUUCUAUCAGACACUCUCCUGCCCAAAACUUAGUGACUUAUUCACUGUACUGACACUAUGUAUCUCUCUUUCCAGUGAACUGAGCCAUAUAUUUCCAGUUUACUUUACACAUAUUAAAUUAAACAAUAUCUUCUUUUGUAUUUUGACAUAACUCUAGUUUUAAGGGAUGAUAUC